UUGAACAUUGGCUUUCAUAUCAAAGAGCAAAAGAAAAUAAAAUGUUUACAAGCCCAUCUGGCCUUAGUGUUUACAAUACCCAUUAGUAAGAAACUCAUAAUUUAGAAACUUCCAUAGUAAUGCCCAAAAUCCCUAAGCUCAUUCAGCUGAGUGAUUUGGCCGGGAUUUUGAUAAUUGAAGCGUCGGAGAAAACAGUGGUGGAGAGGGGGAUAGAGCGGAGAGAGCGAUCAUGCGUGAUGAAACCACAAUUGCAUCAUGGAGGAGGAAAGCUUUGGAUUUGAAGACCUGAAACUCUGGAUCCUAUUUCUUAUCUGGCGAUCAAUUAUGGUGAAGAGAGAGUCAAUAGACCUGAAGGAGUUUGUGUGCAGCCUUGAGUUUCGUUCAUUCCAUAUCCAAUAGAGGUUGGAUUGCCAAGCUAGAAGAGUGAGUAUGCGAUGAGGUCUCUGCGAUUUCUGAGUCGGAAGCGCUUGCAUCUGCUGUAAGGUUUGGCUCCAGCUCCUCAGCGGUUGGAUUGAGCAUCUUCUUGCUGUUAAUUCCCAUAGAUCGAAGCUGAAGGUGCAAUGGAAGAAGAUGUGGUCUCUAGAUUCAUGAUUGUUGUUGCAAAGGAGGCAGAGAGGAGAGACCUGGAUGCCCCAAGUUAGUAGCCUAUCUCUCGUCGGGCACCUAUCAAGAAUAACCAGCCAAGUGUGGAACUGCUGUCUAGGGAUUCCAUAGGAGAACCAGACCGUUGAAGCUCACGAGACUUCAUCAAUGUUUCCUCGUAGGUGGAAGCCGCCACGAUCCAUUUCUGAACAAAGACGCCACAGUUGCUUUGUUAGUUAAAAAUUAAAUUUAUACAAAA